UUCAUUAAAAAAAUGCGAACUGACAUUAUUAAAAAACGUUCAAAGUGUUCCUCCAGGAUGCCAGGAUGAUGUACAACGUGUGGAAAAAUGACUUCUGAAAUCUAAAAAUUGAGCCUAAUUUUUCUUUAUAAAUUACCGCACUCUUUUAAAAAAGUGGAGGAAUUAUAUGAUAUUGAACAUUGAUUUUAAAAAAAUGAAGCUAUCUAUGUAGCUGUUUUUUUCCUUCAGCAAGAGAGGGACGGAUUCUUUCAUCAUUGAUUCAGAUAAGAAAAAAAUUCGAUGCUCCUCGUUCUAUUAGAAUUUCAUCAGACUAUAAAAUAGAAAUGAUGCAGGGUCAAUUGAUUUCGCGAUCAUCCACGAAAAAGUUGCAUAAUAAUCUCGAUUCGAAAGCACGACAAUGGCGGGGCUGAGUCGAUCAAUUUUUGGUAAGAAAAGCAGAUAGGAAUUAUGGGCUUUAUUAAUUUUAAGGCACUUUUCGAGAGUAAAAAAAUGUGAAAUUAGGUAACGAAAAGUUUCUCACAGAAGUGGAAGAGCUUCGCUUAUAAGAUAAUUCGAUUAGAUUUUUCAACAGAUUAUGCGGCGAGGUGCUCGAUGUUUUUUCUUUCUCAAAUGACGAGUUGGAUUUCAGGACGAUCACGAUGAGUUUAUUUUUAUAGGAUUACACAUUUUCGCACUGUCUCGACCUUCGAACGAUAUUCUUCUCGCGACUAUAGAGUAGAGCGUUGAUGCUGAAAAAAAAGGAAAAGAAUAACGCAAUCGAAUGCAGCUGCAACAUAGAUAGGUAUUAAAAGAUUCGCGACCUCUGACCCGCCAUUUGGAUUUCCAUGUUAAGGCGCGACUCGGGUAUUUCCAAUUUCAACUUCGUCGUAAGAGAGUUGGGCAACAUUCGAAGUCGAAGAGCACCUAUGUGGCUAUGUAACCGAUGAGAUGAAGGCUCAACUUACGGCCAGAUCUUCGUACGAGAGAAAGUCAUCGUUGACGUUGGUCGGCGGCGGGCAAGGAUAGAAGGCUGUCUGUUGUGACUGAUGUCUGGCCCCUAGCGCCGGCUCUCUCAAGUCGUCUACGUGUCUACGUUGAAAAACCGGCGAAGCUAGAACUUUACGUUUCCGAGUAUUGUAUUCGGCCACCAAUCUGUCGAAAUCCUCCCAUUCCGUAUCCACAUCUUCUUCGUACAUACUCGUACUUGUGUUCGACGAUAUCUUAAUCAGCUACGAGUAUUCUUACGACGACGAAGCGAUUGAUCGAAAACACAUCGCGGGCAUUAGGCUCCAAAAUACAUAAGAAGGACAGAAAAUAUGCUGAUUUCGCAAUCGCAAUCGCACUGACCGAGUGAAAAUUAUAGUUAUUGGUAACCGAGGCUCGCGCUCGGUUAAUCGCUAACUGCGGACAAUCGCACACGAAUUACGAGUAUGCGACUUGUAUUAGUUUCAAUUUGAAAUGCGAUCUCGUCUUUCGUCUGCUGCCCGCCGAUCAUCCAAUAUUAUAAUACCUACGUGUACGUGUACGUGAAGAAAAACGUGGUCAUUGCUGGCUUCCUUUUCGGAUAGAGACAGAGGGCGAGGCGUUGAUAUCGUACUCGCGUAUUGUGUAUACUGUAUUGUACGAUAUGGUCAUUCAUAACAUCAUAAGCAACCACAUAUACAUGUACUGUACAGUGUACAUGCAGUAAAUAUGAGAAAUUUAUAACGUCUAUGGUCUAUGCGAUGUACCUCUUCCUCUUCCUCUACCUCUAUCUUUACCUAUGCCAUACGCAUUUAAAUGCGACACGUAACCGGGACGUAUCAAUUUAUCCAAUUAAUUUUCUGUGUCCAUGUCCACAGUCCAUUCGCUAAUCUGCUCGCUAAUGCUGCUCAUCUUUCGGCAUCUGUUCGUCGCAAUCAUUUAUUGCAAUAUUUGAUGUAUUCGACAGCACAUGAUGCAGGUUUUCCAUAGAGAAAGACAUAGACAUAGACACAGCGCGGCGGCGGUCCCAUCUCCAAACCGUAUAAGGGCCAACUCCGAAAAUUUUAGCUCACAGACACCUACUCAGUGCCAUUCACUCAAGAUCCUCAUUCAUUGCUUGAUACGAGCAAGGCUGGUUACUUCGGAAAUCGUCGUUUUUUGAUUUGCAUCACAAGGCAAAGAGUCAAUAAAUCUUGAUCAGAAAUAGGUACCAAAUUUUGGUCACCUUCCAAAGAUGUCGCAGAGGUGAAUAGUGAAGGGUGAUUGAAGUUUGGCACCCCUGAUCAAGAUUUGCAGUCGGGUGAUUGUAUGAUCAUAUCAAAAACAUCCAGUCAACGCUUUUCUCAUAGCUCAAGUAAUAUUUUUUUAGCAUCGAUGCUUUUUUUGCAACUUACUACGUAGUUUUUGAUAAUUUCUAUUAAUUGGUUAUUGGUUUUAAAUUUUUAAAUUAAAAAAAAUUUUUUUUCAUGUUGUUAUGUCAUUUUAACGAGUUUCUGACACAAAUUGUAGAAGAACUCCAUUCCAGAUCCAAGCUAAAAUAUGUUGUAUGUUUACAAAGGAUGUUAUCAUAUUACCUACAACCAUAAGUAUAGAAUUUGAUGCUGUUACGUAUUUAACGAGGACCAGUACGCGGUAUGAUUGGACCUGCCUGCAACAACUCUGUACACAAUGUACAAAUCGUAAGAUGCCGAGAUGACCUUCCACCUUGCCAUUGGAAUCACUGUGCACAGUAUUUACUCGUAGAUACGUACUCGUAUUUACACAGAUACUGAGACACGCCACACCGAAGGCACAAGCGGGAAAUUCUAGCGAUGGUUUGCUAAUAACACUUCACACGUAAUCAUGCACCGGAACGUAUUUGAAUAAUUUUUUACAUAAUUUCCCAAUAAAUGAAAUUUUCAUAA